rnacentral:rRNA from 1 species
AUGGUUAUUUUUACAAGGGAUUUGAAAUGGUGCCCUACAUUCAACAAACUAAAGAAUCUAAUACUCAAUGACUACUGGUGCAUGGGCCCUAGCUUUGACGCUCUAAGUUGCAUUCUCAAACACUCACCCGUUCUAGAGAAGCUCAGUCUUCAUCUUUUCAAGGGACUAAGAGCUAAUGUUAAAAUGAAAGGAAGCUAUAGUUCAAUGGAGAGAUCUUCUGUGAUAUCUGAACACCUAAAGGUAGUCGAUGUCAAGUGUUGUGUUGUUGAUGAGAAAGUUGCCGAAGUUCUGAAGUUCCUGUGUACACUUAACAUACGAUUCUGUUUCGUGUAA